rnacentral:rRNA from 1 species
GGGAACCUCACCCGGCCCGGACACCGCGAGGAUUGACAGACUGAGAGCUCUUUCUCGAUUCGGUGGGUGGUGGUGCAUGGCCGUUCUUAGUUGGUGGAGCGAUCUGUCUGGUUAAUUCCGAUAACGAACGAGACCCCAACCUGCUAACUAGCCCUCGGGUCCUGCUUCUGUUGGGCCCGACGGAAUGAUUCGCUUCUUAGAGGGACUCGCGGUGCCUAGCCGCACGAAGGGGGGCGAUAA